rnacentral:lncRNA from 1 species
CGUGCGCUCCCCGCCUGUGAGGUCGACGUCCUCGGGCUCCGGACCCGCGUCGCCGGUCCGCCGGGGCACUAGCACUCUGCUCCCCGCCCCACUCUAGCGCCGCUGCUUCCGCCGCCGUAACGAGCCUCUUGCCGAUUGGUGACGGAUGGCCCCGCCCACCUUCCAGAAAGCCACUCAGCUCUUGGCCUGAGCGGGAGAGCUGACGGCUCUGCCCCUCGGCGCCUCGGAGGUCUCUGGGAAGUGUAGUUCCGGGCGCCAGGAGGGCGGGCCGCGAAGGAGGUGGUGAGCUCCAGGGCGGGGCCUCAAAAGACCUGGUUGGAGCAACACGUCCCUGUGCUGUGUGGAGUAGGUUCAGCUUUUUCUCUUCUCUGAGAGGGAAGAUAGUGGAUCCCACCCCUUCGCCGCAGUCUGACGGCGCUGGGUUUCAUUCUUCCGAGGUGGGGCGGUGCGACGCGGGAAGUUUCAGUGCUAGGAAUCAAACCCAUGGAAUGGAGGCUACCAGUAUAACAGGAAGUGCCGAGUGGAAGUCUUGGAAUUUCUGCAACACUCCCUCAAAAGUAAUACAAGGGGUGGGGAUUUGGCUCAGUGGCUCCACCGCCUGCUUGGCAAGCACAAGGUCCCAAGAUCAAUCUCUGGUACCACAAAAAAAAAAAAAAAAAAAAAAAAAAGAUUCUGUGGGAAAUUUCAGAGAUUAAAUGUAACCAAUAAAGAACAUAAAUAUCCCCCACUUAAUUUGCCUGUUACCUUUGUGCAAACAAAUAAUUGUGGAGGUGGACAAUGGAUUACUGUAAAUUUAAAUUAUAUUUGAUUUCCUAUUAUUGCCCUCCCCCGUGUGUGUAUAUCAUGCUGGAGAUCAAACCUAGGCCCUCAUGCAUGCUAGGCAAACACUGUACCCCCGAACUACAUCCCUAGCUGUUAAUGUU